rnacentral:rRNA from 1 species
CAGCACCUCAAGUGGUCAGGAUGAUUAUUGGGCCUAAAGCAUCCGUAGCCGGCUCUGUAAGUUUUCGGUUAAAUCUGUAUGCUCAACAUACAGGCUGCCGGGAAUACUGCAGAGUUAGGGAGUGGGAGAGGUAGACGGUACUCGGUAGGAAGGGGUAAAAUCCUUUGAUCUAUUGAUGACCACCUGUGGCGAAGGCGGUCUACCAGAACACGUCCGACGGUGAGGGAUGAAAGCUGGGGGAGCAAACCGGAUUAGAUACCCGAGUAGUCC